rnacentral:rRNA from 1 species
CCUACGGGUGGCAGCCGUAGGGAAUAUUGCUCAAUGGGGGAAACCCUGACGCAGCAACGCCGCGUGGAGGAUGAAGGUUUUCGGAUUGUAAACUCCUUUUGUUAGAGAAGAUAAUGACGGUAUCUAACGAAUAAGCCCCGGCUAACUCCGUGCCAGCAGCCGCGGUAAUACGGAGGGUGCAAGCGUUACUCGGAAUCACUGGGCGUAAAGAGCGCGUAGGCGGGAUAGCAAGUCAGAUGUGAAAUCCUAUGGCUUAACCAUAGAACUGCAUUUGAAACUGUUAGUCUAGAGUAUGGGAGAGGUAGGUGGAAUUCUUGGUGUAGGAGUAAAAUGCGUAGAGAUCAAGAGGAAUACUCAUUGCGAAGGCGACCUGCUAGAACAUAACUGACGCUGAUGCGCGAAAGCGUGGGGAGCAAACAGGAUUAGAUACCCGUGUAGUC